AUACUUACCUGGGCGGGGUCUAUCUGUGAUCAGGAAGGUGGAUGGCCUAGGGCAGCUGCUUCCAUUGCACGUUUGGAGGUAGGCUGCCUUACCGUCUCCCUAAGUGGGAGAGUGGACGUCAGAAUUUGUGAUAGAGAGGGUACGCGCAUGCGCGGCCCUUA